GGACAGAAAGACCCUAUGAAGCUUUACUGUAGCCUGGAAUUGAAUUUGGGUUUAGUUUGCGCAGUAUAGGUGGGAGGCGAAGAUUAUAUAUUUGCGGAUGUAUAUGAGCCGCUAGUGAGAUACCACUCUAAUUAAACUAGAAUUCUAAUAUUGAUUGCCAUAAGCUGGCCAAUAAACAGUUUCAGGUGGGCAGUUUGACUGGGGCGGUCGCCUCCUAAAAGGUAACGGAGGCGUGCAAAGGUUUCCUCAGGCUGGUCGGAAAUCAGUCGUAGAGUGUAAAGGCAUAAGGAAGCUUGACUGCGAGACCUACAAGUCGAGCAGAGACGAAAGUCGGCCUUAGUGAUCCGACAGUGCUGAGUGGAAAGGCUGUCGCUCAACGGAUAAAAGUUACCUCUAGGGAUAACAGGCUGA
rnacentral:rRNA from 2 species